GCCCAGAUGGCGGAAUUGGUAGACGCACGGGACUCAAAAUCCCGCGACUUCGGUCAUGAGAGUUCGAUUCUCUCUCUGGGCA
rfam:Candidatus Magasanikbacteria bacterium RIFCSPLOWO2_02_FTLL_44_11 rifcsplowo2_02_scaffold_5421, whole genome shotgun sequence.